rnacentral:lncRNA from 1 species
UGACAAUUUUUUUUUUUAACUAUUAAAUAAACAACUCUUAUUAAACAAAGGGCAAAACAGUCAAAACAUAAAUUAACAUUUCUAAUUAAUACAAAACAAACAUAUAUCACUCCCAACUUCCUCACCUGAUACUUUACUAAUCGUCUCCCUUCUACCAUCAUCUCCCAUCACUAGCUCCAUCUCCGGUUUCUCCUCCAUUCCCACGUCAUCAUCUUUAUCAGACUCGUCCAAAUUACCAAACCCAAAAAUAUAAUUCUUCACACCAAACCCAAAAAUCUAAUUCAUCCACAGAAAACCCAAUCUCAUUCAUCCUUAGCAGGGUGUUUAUUUCUAAUCAAUGGCAAGAAAAACAAAAAGAAAUAAAGUUCAGUAAGCAAAAUAUAUGUUGUUGAAUAAAAUUAAAUUUAAAAGCUUUAAAAAUUAGUUACAUAUACACCUCCAUUAGAAUUAAAAAAAACAACUAACCAUUCUUCCUUUCCAAAUUCGCAUCAAUAACAGAGUAUAAAUAAUCAACUUGUUACAAACCUGUUAUCAACAAAUGUAAAUCAAACAGCAUUUCAACACAAUAGAAAAAGGAAUAUGGGUGUGUUUGCAGUCCUCACUGUAUGUAUAAUACAAUACAGAGAUAAUACAAUAUAGAGAAAGGGGGAAAUUCUUUAACAAACAAAAAAAAGAAAAAAAAGAAAGGGGGAAAUUACUUGAGGCGAUUAAAAGCUCUACGAAGAGCCCACAUGGUGAUUUGAGAAUUUGGUUUGAUUGAAACCCUUAAUACUCUCCGCGAGAAGAAACGAUGGAGGAAGAGAUAGAGAAAGAGCGAGAGAGUAGUGCAAAAUGAAAGCCACCAGAGUAUUAAACCCUAUAAAACCCUCUUACAGUUGGGCCGUUGAUACUUUCGCUUCUUGCUCAUCUAAGUCGCCAUUCUCGAAGAAGAGUAGCAGAACUAAAUCUGAGCUAAUAUGUAAGUGGAGAUGUAGAUGGAAUCAGAUCUAAACUGAGCUGUAAGUUAAGUAGCAGACCUUUAGCUUAUUGCUUAAUGAUUUUUACUUUGAGAAAGAAAUGUAAAUUGAUG